CCGGCUGGGCGCUGCGCCCUGCGCCCUACGCCCUGCGCCCUGCCGGGGUCCCUGACCGGAAUCUGAGCUGCUUCCCCUGCUUUGGAAAGACAAGUCUCUGGGCACAAAAGAUGAAUGAAAUGCAGUACCUACCCUCGAGGAGCCCACUGCCUAAUGGGGCAGGACCCAUGGGCCUCUUCAAGCUCAUUCCUGGACUCACUUGUGAAAACAUGAGACCCUCGUGACCUGGCCUCUGCCACCCUCGUCAGCUCAUCUUCAUCUCCGACCCCCGUUGGUAAAUGCCCGGCCACACCACAUGACAUGUACUUCCCUCGCGCACACCACUGCAUUUCACUGCUUCAUGCCAUCGCACAUGUUAUUCUCGACAACUGGAAAGGCUAGUAAACUCCCGUUCAUUCUUCAAAGCCCAGCUUUGGAGUUACCACCUCUUUGUCUGGGUCCUCAGUGCUGUCCAGACAGGCUUGAUCAUCCCGCAGCCUGAAGCACUUCUGUCUACAUACUUCUCUCAUUGCGUGUUUUCCAAUUAAUGGGGGCUCCAUGUCUGUCUUCCGUACUGGACUCUGAGUUUCCUGAGACUAGAGACCACAUCUUUAGCCUUUGCAUCCCCAGUACUCAGCAUGUAAUAGAUCUGGAGAAAUAAAAUGGCGGAGGAAUGAGCUGACAAAGAAGGAGGCCAACAAGCAGACCGGAAGAAAGGACAGGAGCCAGGAGAAGAAAUGGUGUCAAGAAGGAAAGAAGCACCAGGAGGAGCCUAGAGGUCAAGAUGGUUAAGGACUGAGAGGCAUCAUUGAAUUUGGCAACUAAGAAGCCAUUGGUAGAGAGACCAACUGUCCUGGUUUUCCUGGGACCCAGAUUUCUAGAACUGAAAGUCCUAGGCAAAUGGAGAUGGUCUAGAGUGGUGACCUUAACAAGGACAACUCUGGAGGCGGAG